CACGUAGGGUGCGAGCGUUGUCCGGAAUUAUUGGGCGUAAAGAGUUCGUAGGCGGUUUGUUAAGUCUGAUGUAAAAGACUGGGGCUCAACCUCGGGACUGCAUUGGAUACUGGCAGACUGGAGUACGGUAGAGGCAAGUGGAAUUCCCAGUGUAGCGGUGAAAUGCGCAGAUAUCGGGAAGAACACCGGUGGCGAAGGCGGCUCUCUGGGCCUGUCCUGACGCUCAGGCGCGAAAGCUAGGGGAGCGAACAGG
rnacentral:rRNA from 1 species